UACGUAGGGGGCAAGCGUUGUCCGGAAUCAUUGGGCGUAAAGAGCGUGUAGGCGGUUCGGUAAGUCCGCUGUGAAAGUCCAGGGCUCAACCCUGGGAUGCCGGUCGAUACUGCCGGACUAGAGUUCGGAAGAGGCGAGUGGAAUUCCCGGUGUAGCGGUGAAAUGCGCAGAUAUCGGGAGGAACACCUAUGGCGAAGGCAGCUCGCUGGGACGUUACUGACGCUGAGACGCGAAAGCGUGGGGAGCAAACAGG
rnacentral:rRNA from 1 species